UGAUCUUUCUUGGACAUAGGCCUACAUUUUGAAGUGACCCUUCGAAUUAAAAAGGUUCCUCUGCUGCUUUUGAGGAAAAACAUCAAUGUGCUUGGCCACUCUGGUUUUUUAAAAAUGGUAUUCUGAACUAAAGCAAGGAUUGUUCAAGUUAGUUGAAAAUAGACCGUCUCUGGUUAAAUUAGUUCUACACCAAGCCUUUAGGUGGCAGUAAAACUAAUUGGCACAAUGCGAAUUCCACACACAAGCCACAAAGAAGCCAUCAGCCGCGGUCAACAUCACCUUCCUGAUUGAACAGAACCACGCGUUGUCUGUGUGGUUUACAAGUUUCUUGGCGAUAUGGGGGAAAAGUUCCUCACAUACCAACGGAAAAUGGGCGUCAUAUACAUGCAGUCACACAGGGGUUCCAAGACCCACCGGCGUAAAAUCAAGUCAAAGGCUGCUGUCUCAUAAUAUGGCGAAGACGAGUCACCUGAAGGCCUAACUCGCCAUAGAAGACUGAAAGAAU